GCGAGGCUAGUCAAACCUAGCAGGUGGAGGCCAUUGAACGAGAGCGUGUAGCACUUGAAGGCGGAUCUUUUGUGUAACACAGAUUGAUGGCUUAUCUGCCUACCACAGACACUGAACCUGUCAAAGAUAGCUGGACCAUCAUUUUCCCUCCUAACGUAAAUGCUGUAGCGCACAGGAGAUGACAUCUUGAUUAUGUGAAACUUUGAUGUUGAACUUGGUAUCCAUGUUGUACUUUUGAAAAUGUUUUAACAUGGUGCAAAUUUAACUUAAAUAGCAGACGGAGUAUGGUACAUACAUCCCUAGGCUGACAUGUUGUGAAAGCAUUUCUACUUCUUUUAUGAUGGAUGAUGAAAAUUUUGUUUGACUGAAAAACUCUUAUAGAAGAAAGCAUAUGUAUGCUGCUAUCAUUCUGCCCGCAUCAUCACCAAAUGGCAACGCAGCUCCAUCACACCAUUUUGCUGGCUGUAGUCAAAUACUCCCUCCGUUUUUUAUUUACUCCCCAUAUUAGCUUUGAUUGAAGUCAAACUUUAUAAGGUUUGUAGAAAACAAUAUGAAUAUUUACAAUAACAAAUUUGUAUGAUGUGAAAAUAUAUGCAAUGAUGAAUCCGAUGGUAUUGAUUUGGUAGUUAAUAUACUAUUUUUCUACAAACUUGUUGAAAGUAUACAAAGUUUGACUUUAGACAAACCUAAUAUACGGAGUAAAUAAAAACAGAGAGAGUAUUAUUUCGCCUUGAAGACACAAAAGGAGAUAUAAUAAAUACAUCAGUUUCGUUCACAACAAUGGAGCCAAAGUUACAACACACGUCUACAUAAUGUAUAUCAAUAGGGUUUGAAUCAAUAGAGCAACAAUAUACUGAACUGAUGAUAUGGACACAAAGGGAACAUCAAGCACACUAUUAAACCGGCACGCAGGCCGCCGAGUUAGUUUUGGGCAAGCACACUAUUACCGACAGGAAACGCUGACAUGGUAGCAUUGUUCUCCUGGCCCGUGGCGUCCACCCUCAGGCGUCAUGUGAAAGAAAUAUGCCCUAAGAGGCAAUAAUAAAAUUAUUAUUUUUUUCCUUAUAUCAUGAUAAAUGUUUAUUAUUCAUGCUAGAAUUGUAUUAACCGGAAACAUAAUACAUGUGUGAAUACAUAGACAAACAGAUUGUCACUAGUAUGCCUCUACUUGACUAGCUCGUUGAUCAAAGAUGGUUAUGUUUCAUAACCAUAGAUAUGAGUUGUCAUUUGAUUAACGGGGUCACAUCAUUAGGAGAAUGAUGUGAUUGACUGGACCCAUUCCGUUAGCUUAGCACACGAUCGUUUUAGUAAUAUGCUAUUGCUUUCUUCAUGACUUAUACAUGUUCCUAUGACUAUGAGAUUAUGCAACUCCCGUUUACCGGAGGAACACUUUGUGUGCUACCAAACGUCAGAACGUAACUGGGUGAUUAUAAAGGUGGUCUACAGGUGUCUCCAAAGGUACUUGUUGGGUUGGCAUAUUUCGAGAUUAGGAUUUGUCACUCCGAAUAUCAGAGAGGUAUCUCUGGGCCCUCUCGGUAAUGCACACCACUUAAGCCUUGCAAGCAUUGCUACUAAUGAGUUAGUUGCGGGAUGAUGUAUUACAAAACGAGUAAAGAGACUUGCCGGUAACGAGAUUGAACUAGGUAUUGAGAUACCGACGAUCGAAUCUCGGGCAAGUAACAUACCGAUGACAAAGGGAACAACGUAUGUUGUUAUGCGGUUUGACCGGUAAAGAUCUUCGUAGAAUAUGUGGGAGCCAAUAUGAACAACCAGGUUUCACUAUUGGUUAUUGACCGGAGACACGUCUCGGUCAUGUCUACAUAGUUCUCGAACCCGUAGGGUCCGCACGCUUAAAGUUUCGAUGACGGUUAUAUUAUGAGUUUAUAUGUUUUGAUGUACCGAAGGUUGUUCGGAGUCUCGGAUGUGAUCCCGGACAUGACGAGGAGUCUCGAAAUGGUCGAGACAUGAAGAUUGAUAUAUUGGAAGCCUAUGUUUGUGUUGGGGAACGUAGUAAUUUCAAAAAUUUCCUAUGCACACGCAAGAUCAUGGUGAUGCAUAGCAAUGAGAGGGGAGAGUGUUGUCUAUGUACCCUCGUAGACCGGAAACGGAAGUGUUAGCACAACACAGUUAAUGUAGUCGUACGUCUUCACGGCCCGACCGAUCAAGCACCAAAACUACGGCACCUCCGAGUUUUAGCACACGUUCAGCUCGAUGAUGAUCCCCGGACUCCGAUCUAGCAAAGUGUCGGGGAUGAGUUCGGUCAGCACGACAGUGUGGUGACGAUCUUGAUGUUUUACCGUCGCAGGGCUUCGCCUAAGCACCGCUACAAUAUUAUCGAGGACUAUGGUGGAGGGGGGCACCGCACACGGCUAAGAGAUCAAUGAUCAACUGUUGUGUCUCUGGGGUGCCCCCUGCCCCCGUAUAUAAAGGAGUGGAGGAGGGGGCCGACCAAGGAGGGUGGCGCGCCCUAAGGGGGAGUCCAACUCCCACAGGGAGUAGGACUCCCCUUUUUCCUAUUAGGAGUAGGAGAGGGAAGGAAGAGGAAGGAGGGAGGAAGGAAAGGGGGGCCGGCCCCCUCCCAAUUCGGAUUGGGCUUGGGGGGGGGGGCGCCCCCUCCCUUGCUCCUUUCCCCUCCUUUCCACUAAGGCCCAAUAAGGCCCAUAUACCUCCCGGGGGGUUCCGAUAACCUCCAAGUGAUCCGGUAUUGUCCCAAUCUCACCUGGAACCUUCCCGAUGUCCAAAUAUAGUCGUCCAAUAUAUCGAUCUUUAUGUCUCGACCAUUUCGAGACUCCUCGUCAACUCCGUGAUCACAUCUGGGACUCCGAACAACCUUAAGUACAUCAAAAUAUAUAAACUCAUAAUGAAACUGUCAUCGUAACGUUAAGCGUGCGGACCCUACGGGUUCGAGAACAAUGUAGACAUGAUCGAGACACGUCUCCGGUCAAUAACCAAUAGCAGAACCUGGAUGCUCAUAUUUGCUCCUACAUAUUCUACGAAGAUCUUUAUCGGUCAGACCGCAUAACAACAUACUUUGUUCCCUUUGUCAUAGGUAUGUUACUUGCCCGAGAUUCGAUCGUCGGUAUCUCAAUACCUAGUUCAAUCUAGUUACCGGCAAGUCUCUUUACUCGUUCUGUAAUACAUCAUCUUGCAACUAACUUAUUAGUUGCAUUGCUUGCAAGGCUUAAGUGAUGUGCAUUACCGAGAGGGCCCAGAGAUACCUCUCCGACAAUCGGAGUGACAAAUCCUAAUCUCGAAAUACGCCAACCCAACAUGUACCUUUGGAGACACCUGUAGAGCACCUUUAUAAUCACCCAGUUAAGUUGUGACGUUUGGUAGCACACAAAGUGUUCCUCCGGUAAACGGGAGUUGCAUAAUCUCAUAGUCAUAGGAACAUGUAUAAGUCAUAAAGAAAGCAAUAGCAACAUACUAAACGAUCGGGUGCUAAGCUAAUGGAAUGGGUCAUGUCAAUCAUAUCAUUCUCCUAAUGAUGUGAUCCCAUUAAUCAAAUGACAACUCAUGUCUGUGGUUAGGAAACAUAAACAUCUUCGAUUAACGAGCUAGUCAAAUAGAGGCAUACUAGUGACACUCUGUUUGUCUAUGUAUUCACACAUGUAUUAUGUUUCCGGUUAAUACAAUUCUAGCAUGAAUAAUAAACAUUUAUCAUGAUAUAAGGAAAUAAAUAAUAACUUUAUUAUUGCUUCUAGGGCAUAUUUCCUUCAGUCUCCCACUUGCACUAGAGUCAAUAAUCUAGAUUACACAGUAAUGAUUCUAACACCCAUGGAGCCUUGGUGUUGAUCAUGUUUUGCUCGUGGAAGAGGCUUAGUCAAUGAGUCUGCUACAUUCAGAUCCGUAUGUAUCUUGCAAAUCUCUAUGUCUCCCACCUGGACUAGAUCCUGGAUGGAAUUGAAGCGUCUCUUGAUGUGCUUGGUUCUCUUGUGAAAUCUGGAUUCCUUUGCCAAGGCAAUUGCACUAGUAUUGUCACAAAAGAUUUUCAUUGGACCUGAUGCACUAGGUAUGACACCUAGAUCGGAUAUGAACUCCUUCAUCCAGACUCCUUCGUUUGCUGCUUCCGAAGCAGCUAUGUACUCUGCUUCACAUGUAGAUCCCGCCACGACGCUUUGUUUAGAACUGCACCAACUGACAGCUCCACCGUUUAAUAUAAAUACGUAUCCGGUUUGCGAUUUAGAAUCGUCCGGAUCAGUGUCAAAGCUUGCAUCAACAUAACCAUUUACGAUGAGCUCUUUGUCACCUCCAUAUACGAGAAACAUAUCCUUAGUCCUUUUCAGGUAUUUCAGGAUGUUCUUGACCGCUGUCCAGUGAUCCACUCCUGGAUUACUUUGGUACCUCCCCGCUAGACUUAUAGCAAGGCACACAUCAGGUCUGGUACACAGCAUUGCAUACAUGAUAGAGCCUAUGGCUGAAGCAUAGGGAACAUUUUUCAUUUUCUUUCUAUCUUCUGCGGUGGUCGGGCAUUGAGUCUUACUCAACUUCACACCUUGUAACACAUGCAAGAAUCCUUUCUUUGCUUGAUCCAUUUUGAACUUCUUCAAAACUUUGUCAAGGUAUGUGCUUUGUGAAAGUCCAAUUAAGCGUCUUGAUCUAUCUCUAUAGAUCUUAAUGCCCAAUAUGUAAGCAGCUUCACCGAGGUCUUUCAUUGAAAAACUCUUAUUCAAGUAUCCCUUUAUGCUAUCCAGAAAUUCUAUAUCAUUUCCGAUUAGCAAUAUGUCAUCCACAUAUAAUAUCAGAAAUGCUACAGAGCCCCCACUCACUUUCUUGUAAAUACAGGCUUCUCCAAAAGUCUGUAUAUAAACCAAAUGCUUUGAACACACUAUCAAAGCGUUUAUUCCAACUCCGAGAGGCUUGCACCGGUCCAUAAAUGGAUCGCUGGAGCUUGCACACUUUGUUAGCUCCCUUUGGAUCUACAAAACCUUCCGGCUGCAUCAUAUACAACUCUUCUUCCAGAAAUUCAUUCAGGAAUGUAGUUUUGACAUCCAUCUGCCAAAUAAAAAUGCGGCAAUUGCUAACAUGAUUCGGAUAGACUUAAGCAUCACUACGGGUGAGAAGGUCUCAUCGUAGUCAAUCCCUUGAACUUGUCGAAAACCUUUUGCGACAAGUCAAGCUUUGUAGAUAGUAACAUUACCGUCAGCGUCAGUCUUCUUCUUGAAGAUCCAUUUAUUCUCAAUUGCUUGUCGACCAUUGGGCAAGUCAACCAAAGUACACACUUUGUUCUCAUACAUGGAUCCCAUCUCAGAUUUCAUGGCUUCAAGCCAUUUUGCGGAAUCUGGGCUCACCAUCGCUUCUUCAUAGUUCGUAGGUUCAUCAUGAUCUAGUAUCAUGACUUCUAGAACAUGAUUACCGUACCACUCUGGUGUGGAUCUUACUCUGGUUGAUCUACGAGGUUCAGUAGUAACUUGUUCUGAAGUUUCAUGAUCAUCAUCAUUAGCUUCCUCACUAAUUGGUGUAGGUGUCACAGAAACCGGUUUCUGUGAUGUACUACUUUCCAACAAGGAAGCAGGUACAGUUACCUCAUCAAGUUCUACUUUCCUCCCACUCACUUCUUUCGAGAGAAACUCCUUCUCUAGAAAGGAUCCAUUCUUAGCAACAAAUGUCUUGCCUUCGGAUCUGUGAUAGAAGGUGUACCCAACAGUCUCCUUUGGGUAUCCUAUGAAGACACAUUUCUCCGAUUUGGGUUCGAGCUUAUCAGGUUGAAGCUUUUUCACAUAAGCAUCGCAGCCCCAAACUUUCAGAAACGACAACUUUGGUUUCUUGCCAAACCAUAGUUCAUAAGGUGUCAUCUCAACGGAUUUUGAUAGUGCCCUAUUUAACGUGAAUGCGGCCGUCUCUAAAGCAUAAACCCCAAAACGAUAGCGGUAAAUUUGUAAGAGACAUCAUAGAUCGCACCAUAUCAAGUAAAGUACGAUUACGAUGUUCGGACACACCAUUACGCUGUGGUGUUCCGGGUGGCGUGAGUUGCGAAACUAUUCCGCAUUGUUUCAAAUGUAAACCAAACUCGUAACUCAAAUAUUCUCCUCCACGAUCAGAUCGUCGAAACUUUAUUUUCUUAUUACGAUGAUUUUCAACUUCACUCUGAAAUUCUUUGAACUUUUCAAAUGUUUCAGACUUAUGUUUCAUUAAGUAGAUAUACCCAUAUCUGCUUAAAUCAUCUAUGAAGGUGAGAAAAUAACGAUAUUCGCCACGAGCUUCAACAUUCAUUGGACCACAUACAUCUGUAUGUAUGAUUUCUAACAAAUCUGUUGCUCUCUCCAUAGUACCGGAGAACGGCAUUUUAGUCAUCUUGCCCAUGAGGCACGGUUCGCAAGUACCAAGUGAUUCAUAAUCAAGUGGUUCCAAAAGUCCAUCAGUAUGGAGUUUCUUCAUGCGCUUUACACCGAUAUGACCUAAACGGCAGUGCCACAAAUAAGUUGCACUAUCAUUAUUAACUCUGCAUCUUUUGGCUUUAACAUUAUGAAUAUGUGUAUCACUAUUAUCAAGAUUCAUCAAGAAUAGAUCACUCUUCAAGGGUGCAUGACCAUAAAAGAUAUUACUCAUAUAAAUAGAACAACAUUAUUCUCUGAUUUAAAUGAAUAACCGUCUCGCAUCAAACAAGAUCCAGAUAUAAUGUUUAUUCUCAACGCUGGCACCAAAUAACAAUUAUUUAGGUCUAAUACUAAUCCCGAUGGUAGAUUUAGAGGUAGCGUGCCGACCGCGAUCACAUCGACUUUGGAACCAUUUCCCACGCGCAUCGUCACCUCGUCCUUCGCCAGUGUUCGCUUAAUCCGUAGUCCCUGUUUCGAGUUGCAAAUAUUAGCAACAGAACCAGUAUCAAAUACCCAGGUGCUACUGCGAGAUCUAGUAAGGUACACAUCAAUAACAUGUAUAUCACAUAUACCUUUGUUCUCCUUGCCAUCCUUCUUAUCCGCCAAAUACUUGGGGCAGUUCCGCUUCCAGUGACCAGUCUGCUUGCAGUAGAAGCACUCAGUUUCAGGCUUAGGUCCAGACUUGGGUUUCUUCUCCUGAGCAGCAACUUGCUUGCUGUUCUUCUUGAAGUUCCCCUUCUUCUUCCCCUUGCCCUUUUUCUUGAAACUAGUGGUCUUGUUGACCAUCAACACUUGAUGCUCCUUCUUGAUUUCUACCUCCGCAACUUUUAGCAUUGCGAAGAGCUCGGGAAUUGUCUUAUUCAUCCCUUGCAUAUUAUAGUUCAUCUCGAAGCUCUUGUAGCUAGGUGGAAGUGAUUGGAGAAUUCUUUCAAUGACACAAUCAUCCGGAAGAUUAACUCCCAGUUGAAUUAAGUGAUUAUUAUACCCAGACAUUUUGAGUAUAUGCUCACCGACAGAACUGUUCUCCUCCAUCUUGCAGCUAUAGAACUUAUUGGAGACUUCAUAUCUCUCAAUCCGGGCAUUUGCUUGAAAUAUUAACUUCAACUCCUGGAACAUCUCAUAUGCUCCAUGACGUUCAAAAUGUCGUUGAAGUCCCGAUUCUAAGCCGUAAAGCAUGGCACACUGAACUAUCGAGUAGUCAUUAGCUUUGCUCCGCCAGACGUUCAUAACAUCUGGUGUUGCUCCAGCAGCAGGCCUGGCACCCAGCGGUGCUUCCAGGACGUAAUUCUUCUGUGCAGCAAUGAGGAUAAUCCUCAAGUUACGGACCCAGUCCGUAUAAUUGCUACCAUCAUCUUUCAACUUUGCUUUCUCAAGGAACGCAUUAAAAUCCAACGGAAUAACAACACGGGCCAUCUAUCUACAAUUAAACAUAAACAAGCAAGAUACUAUCAGGUACUAAGUUUAUGAUAAAUUUAAGUUUAAUUAAUCAUAUUACUUAAGAACUCCCACUUAGAAAGACAUCCCUCUAAUCUUUUAAGUGAUCACGUGAUCCAAAUCAACUAAACCAUAACCGAUCAUCACGUGAAAUGGAGUAGCUUUCAAUGGUGAACAUCACUAUGUUGAUCAUAUCUACUAUAUGAUUCACGCUCGACCUUUCGGUCUCAGUGUUCCGAGGCCAUAUCUGCAUAUGCUAGGCUCGUCAAGUUUAACCUGAGUAUUCUGCGUGUGCAAAACUGGCUUGCACCCGUUGUAGAUGGACGUAGAGCUUAUCACACCCGAUCAUCACGUGGUGUCUAGGCACGACGAACUUUGGCAACGGUGCAUACUCAGGGAGAACACUUUUAUCUUGAAAUUUAGUGAGAGAUCAUCUCAUAAUGCUACCAUCAAUCAAAGCAAGAUAAGAUGCAUAAAAGAUAAACAUCACAUGCAAUCAAUAUAAGUGAUAUGAUAUGGCCAUCAUCAUCUUGUGCUUGUGAUCUCCAUCUCCAAAGCAUCGUCAUGAUCACCAUCGUCACCGGCGCGACACCUUGAUCUCCAUCAUAGCAUCGUUGUCGUCUCGCCAAUCUUAUGCUUCCAUGACUAUCGCUACCGCUUAAUGAUAAAGUAAAGCAUUACAGCGUGAUUGCAUUGCAUACAAUAAAGCGACAACCAUAUGGCUCCUGCCAGUUGCCGAUAACUCGGUUACAAAACAUGAUCAUCUCAUACAAUAAAAUUUAGCAUCAUGUCUUGACCAUAUCACAUCACAACAUGCCCUGCAAAAACAAGUUAGACGUCCUCUACUUUGUUGUUGCAAGUUUUACGUGGCUGUUACGGGCUUAGCAAGAACCGUUCUUACCUACGCAUCAAAACCACAAUGAUAAUUUGUCAAGUUGGUGCUGUUUUAACCUUCGCAAGGGCCGGGCGUAGCCACACUCGGUUCAACUAAAGUUGGAGAAACUGACACCCGUCAGCCACCUGUGUGCAAAGCACGUCGGUAGAACCAGUCUCGUGUAAGCGUACGCGUAAUGUCGGUCCGGGCCGCUUCAUCCAACAAUACCGCCGAACCAAAGUAUGACAUGCUGGUAAGCAGUAUGACUUAUAUCGCCCAAAACUCACUUGUUUUCUACUCGUGCAUAACAUCAACGCAUAAAACCUAGGCUCGGAUACCACUGUUGGGGAACAUAGUAAUUUCAAAAUUUUCCUACGCACACGCAAGAUCAUGGUGAUGCAUAGCAAUGAGAGGGGAGAGUGUUGUCUACGUACCCUCGUAGACCGGAAGCGGAAGUGUUAGCACAACGCGGUUGAUGUAGUCGUACGUCUUCACGGCCCGACCGAUCAAGCACCGAAACUACGGCACCUCCGAGUUUUAGCACACGUUCAGCUUGAUGACGAUCCCCGGACUCCGAUCCAGCAAAGUGUCAGGGAUGAGUUCCGUCAGCACGACGGCGUGGUGACGAUCUUGAUGUUUUACCGUCGCAGGGCUUUGCCUAAGCACCGCUACAAUAUUAUCGAGGACUAUGGUGGAGGGGGGCACCGCACACGGCUAAGAGAUCAAUGAUCAACUGUUGUGUCUCCGGGGUGCCCCCUGCCCCCGUAUAUAAAGGAGUGGAGGAGGGGCCCGGCCAAGGAGGGUGGCGCACCCUAAGGCGGAGUCCAACUCCCACAGGGAGUAGGACUCCCCCUUUUCCUAUUAGGAGUAGGAGAGGGAAGGAAGAGGAAGGAGGGAGGAAGGAAAGGGGGGCCAGCCCCCCUCCCAAUUCGGAUUGGGCUUGGGGGGGGGCGCCCCCUCCCUUGCUCUUUUCCCCUCCUUUCCACUAAGGCCCAAUAAGGCCCAUAUACCUCCCGGGGGGUUCCGAUAACCUCCCGGUGAUCUGGUAUUGUCCCAAUCUCACCCGGAACCUUCCCGGUGUCCAAAUAUAGUCAUCCAAUAUAUCGAUAUUUAUGUCUCGACCAUUUCGAGACUCCUCGUCAACUCCGUGAUCACAUUCGGGACUCCGAACAACCUUCGGUACAUCAAAAAUAUAUAAACUCAUAAUGAAACUGUCAUCGUAACGUUAAGCGUGCGGACCCUACGGGUUCGAGAACAAUGUAGACAUGACCGAGACACGUCUCCGGUCAAUAACCAAUAGCGGAACCUGGAUGCUCAUAUUGGCUCCUACAUAUUCUACGAAGAUCUUUAUCGGUCAGACCGCAUAACAACAUACGUUUGUUCCCUUUGUCAUCGGUAUGUUACUUGCCCGAGAUUCGAUCGUCGGUAUCUCAAUACCUAGUUCAAUCUCGUUACCGGCAAGUCUCUUUACUCGUUCUGUAAUACAUCAUCUUGCAACUAACUUAUUAGUUGCAUUGCUUGCAAGGCUUAAGUGAUGUGCAUUACCGAGAGGGCCCAGAGAUACUUCUCCGACAAUCGAAGUGACAAAUCCUAAUCUCGAAAUACGCCAACCCAACAUGUACCUUUGGAGACACCUGUAGAGCACCUUUAUAAUCACCCAGUUACGUUGUGACGUUUGGUACCACACAAAGUGUUCCUCCGGUAAACGGGAGUUGCAUAAUCUCAUAGUCAUAGGAACAUGUAUAAGUCAUGAAGAAAGCAAUAGCAACAUACUAAACAAUCGGGUGCUAAGCUAAUGGAAUGGGUCAUGUCAAUCACAUCAUUCUCCUAAUGAUGUGAUCCCGUUAAUCAAAUGACAACUCAUGUCUAUGGUUAGGAAACAUAACCAUCUUCGAUUAACGAGCUAGUCAAGUAGAGGCAUACUAGUGACACUCUGUUUGUCUAUGUAUUCACACAUGUAUUAUGUUUCCGGUUAAUACAAUUCUAGCAUGAAUAAUAAACAUUUAUCAUGAUAUAAGGAAAUAAAUAAUAACUUUAUUAUUGCCUCUAGGGCAUAUUUCCUUCAGUUUGGAUAUCGGAAGUGUUCCGGAUGAAAUCGGGAUUUUACCGGAGUACCGGGAGGUUACCGGAACCCCCCAGGGACUUAAUGGGCCUUAGUGGGCCUAGGUGAAAGAGAGGAAAGGCGGCUAGGGCUGGGCCGCGCGCUCGUCCCCCCCCAGUCCGAAUAGGACAAGGAGAGGGGGCGGCGCCCCCCUUCCUUCUUCUCCUCCACUCCUUCCCCCCUCCCAAGUCCUAAUCCAACUAGGAAAGGGGGGAGUCCUACUCCCGGUGGGAGUAGGACUCCUUCUGGCGCGCCUCCUCCCUGGCCGGUCGCACCCCCCUUGCUCCUUUAUAUACGGGGGCAGGGGGCACCCCAUAGACACAACAAUUGAUUGUUUGAUCUUUUAGCCGUGUGCGGUGCCCCCCUCCAUCAUAGUCCACCUCGAUAUUACUGUAGCGGUGCUUAGGCGAAGCCCUGCGUCGGUAGAACAUCAACAUCGUCACCACGCCGUCGUGCUGACAAAGCUCUCCCUCAACACUCGGCUAGAUCGGAAUUCGAGGGACGUCAUCGGGAUGAACGUGUGCUGAACUCGGAGGUGCCGUACGUUCGGUACUUGAUCGGUCGGAUUGUGAAGACGUACGACUACAUCAACCUCUUUGUGCUAACGCUUCCACUUUCGGUCUACGAGGGUACGUGGACAACACUCUCCCCUCUCGUUGCUAUGCAUCACCAUGAUCUUGCGUGUGCGUAGGAAUUUUUUUGAAAUUACUACGUUCCUCAUCAUCAUGUGUGUGCCAUGGCAAGCACACGCGAUCUUCACUUCGCUUCUGUCUGAAGAAAAAGAAAAUCUCAUUCUACCUCUAUUCUUCAUCUGCACAAGAUAAUUUUUCAUUUUAUAGGAAAUGAGAUUUCAUUUUACUAAUUACAGGGAAACAACUCAUGCGAUACACCCCGCCUCGUGCGCCUCUGAGCAUUUUUCAGCAUGCGAGGAAAGUGAACAUGGCCAAAAUGUUUAAUGGACAAUGUGGAUUGUGGAGUAAGAUUGCUUAUCACGUGCUACUGACUAGAUAUCGAACAUGUCGAUGUUGAGUCGGAUUGUCCCCAGGACCCAGGUGAUUAACAACAUCAAGGAUGACUCUGGUGGUGGGCCAGCCCAUGUAGAUUUCACAUUUUAUUUCCCUUGGUUGAAUUAAAAACAAAAAAUCACAAAAGGCGAAGAAAUACGUGAAUUCAAAAAAGUUCAUGGAUUUUGAAAAAAGAUCAUGAAUUUGAAAAAAAGUUGACACGGAAACCAUCAUUGGGUGUCGUUUACACAGCCGCUGACACAGAGCUCACUCAAGGCAGGGCACCGUCGACACGGAACCCGUUCAAGAAAGGACGUUGUCUAUUCCACGACGGAACUCACCCAAGGCAAGAUAUCGUCUACACUACCGCCGACACGAAGCUCACGCUAGGCAGGGCGUCGUCUACACCAUCGCUGACAUAGAGCCUAUCGAAGGCGGGGUGACAUCUAGGUUGUCGCCGACAUGAUCCAUCGUUUGGGUGUCAUUUACAUCCGCUCUCCUAUUCACUUCACCACCACAACACCAUCGGCUACACUAAGCAUACCGAGAAGAAGAGAUCCGAGUGUACCAGCUUAAUUGGAGAUGGUAUGCAACAUCAACCCAUGGAAGCAAAUAAUCAAGAGCCAAAGUUACAAAGAGGCCUCAACUAUUCUAAUAUGUUAUUUCAGAUCUAAAUUAUAUAGAAGACAACACUGGAGGCACGGAUGUCACCGUUGGCAUUCUUGCAAAGAUGGACAAAGUGACUCUUCUGCAGGUUACAGAACGAUCAUAAACUUUGAUUGCUCCAAAUUUCGGGGUCUCCCUAGCCCAUGCCUCAGCUGCAACACAAACUUUCUAAUGCAACACAUUUCUUAUGUGCUUAGUUUGCUGCAUUACAUCAUUCAUUCACAGCAACACUAAUGCUCAAAUGGCGAUUUUCAGAUGGACGUGAAACUACCAAUGGACACAAUUGAGACUGUGAUGACCUUGCAAGUGAAGGGUGCAAAGCGAUCGCAACCUACAUCCGAGAGGUUAAGAACCGUUCCUUGUUCUCGGCCGCCCUUGCUCAAUUACAUCUCCAGACUUGUCGUCCUACCGUUGGACACACUGAAACCUUAUUGUUGUGUACAGCAUUGAUUUCCCAUUGUAUGGAACCUGAAUGCCGAUUGGUUGUGCUGUGAUGCUGAAGCAGGUGCUAUUGGAGAACACGAAGCAGCUGGAGUGUCAGCGAGGCUAGUUAAACCUAGCAGGUGGAGGCCAUUGAACGAGAGCGUGUAGCACUUGAAGGCGGAUCUUUUGUGUAACAUAGAUUGAUGGCUUAUCUACCUAGCACAGACACUGAACCUGUCAAAGAUAGCUGGACCAUCAUUUCCCCUCCUAACGUAAAUGUUGUGGCGCACAGGAGAUGACAUCUUGAUUAUGUGAAACUUUGAUGUUGAACUUGGUAUCCAUGUUGUACUUUUGAAAAUGUUUUAACAUGGUGCAAAUUUAACUUAAAUAGCAGACGGAGUAUAGUACAUACAUACCCAGCUUGACAUGUUGUGAAAGCAUUUCUACUUCUUUUAUGAUGGAUGAUGAAAAUUUUGUUUGACUGAAAAUCUCUUAUAGAAGAAAGCAUAUGUAUGCUGCUAUCAUUCUGCCUGCAUCAUCACCAAAUGGCAACGCAGCUCCAUCACACCAUUUUGCUGGCUGCAGUCAAAUACUCCCUCCGUUUUUUAUUUACUCCCCAUAUUAGCUUUGAUUGAAGUCAAACUUUAUAAGGUUUGUAGAAAACAAUAUGAAUAUUUACAAUAAAAAAUUUGUAUGAUGUGAAAAUAUAUGCAAUGAUGAAUCCGAUGGUAUUGAUUUGGUAGUUAAUAUACUAUUUUUCUACAAACUUGUUGAAAGUAUACAAAGUUUGACUUUAGACAAACCUAAUAUACGGAGUAAAUAAAAACAGAGAGAGUAUUAUUCUUUCUUGAAGACACAAAAGGAGCUAUAAUAAAUACAUCAGUUUCGUUCACAACAAUGGAGCCAAAGUUACAACAUGACACACGUCUACAUAAUUUAUAUCAAUAGGGUUUGAAUCAACAGAGGAACAAUAUACUGAACUGAUGAUAUGGACACAAAGGGAACAGCAAGCACACUAUUAAACCGGCACGCAAGCCGCCGAGUUAGUGUUGGGUAAGCACACUAUUACCGACAGGAAACGAUGACAUGGUAGCAUUGUUCUCCUGGCCCGUGGCAUCCACGCUAGUGUGUCACGUGAACUCCUCAGGCGUCAUGUGUGUGCCAUGGCAAGCACGCACGAUCAUCACUUCGUUUCUGUCCGAAGAAAAAGAAAAUCUUAUUCUACCUAUAUUCUUCAUCUGCGCAAGAUAAUUUUUCAUUUUAUAGGAAAUGAGGUUUCAUUUUACUAAUUAUAGGGAAACAACUCAUGCGAUACGCCCCGCCUCGUGCGCCUCUGAGCAUUUUUCAGCAUGCAAUGAAAGUGAACAUGGCCAAAAUGUUUAUUUCAAAUGGACAAUGUGGAUUGCGGAGUAUGAUUGCUUAUCGCGUGCUACUGACUGGAUAUCGAACAUGUCGAUGUUGAGUCGGAUUGUCCCCAGGACCCAGGUGAUUAACAAUAUGAAGGAUGACUCUGGUGGUGGGCCGGCCCAUGUAGAUUUCACAUUUUAUUUCCCCUGGUUGAAUUAAAAAAACAAAAAAUCACAAAAGGCGAAGAAAUACGUGAAUUCAAAAAAGUUCAUGGAUUUUGGAAAAAGAUCAUGAAUUUGUAAAAAAGUUGACACGAAAACCAUCAUUGGGUGUCGUUUACACAGUCGCCGACGCGGAGCUCACUCAAGGCAGGGCGCCAUCGACACGGAACCCGUUCAAGAAAGGACGUUGUCUAUUCCACGACGGAACUCGCCCAAGGCGAGAUAUCGUCUACACUAGCGCCGACACGAAGCUCACGCUAGGCAGGGCGUCGUCUACACCAUCGCUGACAUAGAGCCUAUCCAAGGCGGGGUGACGUCUAGGUUGUCGCCGACAUGAUCCAUCGUUUGGGUGUCAUUUACAUCCGCUCUCCUCUUCACUUCACCACCACAACACCAUCGGCUACACUAAGCAUACUGAGAAGAAUAGAUCCAAGUGUACCAGCUUAAUUGGAGAUGGUAUGCAACUUUAACCCAUGGACGCGAAUAAUCAAGAGCCAAAGUGACAAAGAGGCCUCAACCAUUCUAGUAUGUUAUUUCAGAUCUGAAUUAUAUAGAAGACAACGCUGGAGGCGCGGAUGUCACCGUUGGCAUUCUUGCAAAGAUGGCCAAAGUGACUCUUCUGCAGGUUACAGAACGAUCAUAAACUUUGAUUGCUCCAAAUUUCAGGGUCUCCCUAGCCCACGCCUCAUCUGCAACACAAACUUUCUGAUGCAACACAUUUCUUAUGUGCUUAGUUUGCUGCAUGACAUCAUUCAUUCACAGCAACACUAAUGCUCGAAUGGCGAUUUUCAGAUGGACACGAAACUACCAAUGGACACAUUUGAGACUAUGAUGGACCUUGCAAGUGAAGGGCGCAAAGCGAUCGCAACCUACAUCCGAGAGGUUAAGAACCGUUCCUUGUUCUCGGCCGCCCUUGCUCAAUUACAUCUCCAAACUUGUCGUCCUACCAUUGGACGCACUGAAACCUUAUUGUUGUGUACACCAAUGAUUUCCCAUUGUAUGGAACAUGAAUGCCGAUUGGUUGUGCUGUGCUGCUGAAGCAGGUGCUAUUGGAGAACAUGAAGCAUCUGGAGUGUCAGCGAGGCUAGUUAAACCUAGCAGGUGGAGGCCAUUGAACGAGAGCGUGUAGCACUUGAAGAUGGAUCUUUUGUGUAACACAGAUUGAUGGCUUAUCUGCCUACCACAGAUACUGAACCUGUCAAAGAUAGCUGGACCAUCAUUUUCCCUCCUAACGUAAAUGAUGUGGUGCACAGGAGAUGACAUCUUGAUUAUGUGAAACUUUGAUGUUGAACUUGGUAUCCAUGUUGUACUUUUGAAAAUGUUUUAACAUGGUGCAAAUUUAACUUAAAUAGCAGACGGAGUAUGGUACAUACAGCCCCAGGUUGACAUGUUGUGAAAGCAUUUCUACUU
rnacentral:lncRNA from 1 species